rnacentral:misc_RNA from 1 species
GUAGGUGAACCUGCGGAGGGAUCAUUACUGAGUGAAGGGCUCCGGCCCGAUCUCCAACCCUUUGUAAUCAACCUUCUUGCUUCGGGGGGCGACCCGGCCCCGUCGGCGUCGGGACCCCCAGAGGACCAUCUACAAAAACUCCGCAUCCAUGCGUCGGAUUUAAAAGUUUAAUUGUUAAAACUUUCAACAACGGAUCUCUCGGUUCUG